UACGGAGGGGACUAGCGUUGUUCGGAAUUACUGGGCGUAAAGCGCGCGUAGGCGGCUUUUCAAGUGACGGGUGAAAGCCCUCGGCUUAACCGAGGAACUGCCUGUCAGACUGGAAGGCUUGAGACCAGGAGAGGUGAGUGGAAUUCCCAGUGUAGCGGUGAAAUGCGUAGAUAUUGGGAGGAACACCAGUGGCGAAGGCGGCUCACUGGACUGGUACUGACGCUGAGGAGCGAAAGCGUGGGGAGCGAACAGG
rnacentral:rRNA from 1 species